GUAUAAGUUGUUACGAGCACACGGUGGAUGCCUUGGCAUCAGGAGCUGAUGAAGGACGUGGAAAUCUGCGAUAAGCCUCGGGGAGCUGAUAAACGAGCUGUGAUCCGAGGGUCUCCGAAUGGGGUAACCCGGCUGCGUGUUAUGCGUAGUCACUCGUAUCUGAAUUCAUAGGGUGCGAGGAGGAACGUGGGGAAGUGAAACAUCUCAGUACCCAUAGGAAGAGAAAACAACAGUGAUUCCGUGAGUAGUGGCGAGCGAAAGCGGAUGGUGGCUAAACCGGUUGUGUGUGAUACCUGGCGAGGGUUGCAUGAUCGGGGUUGUGGGAUGCGUUGUUCCUGGGGUCGCCACCCUGGGCGCUGUGGCGUGGUGGUAGUCGAACUGGUGGUGAGUGCCAGACCGUAGGGGGUGUGAGUCCCGUAGACGAAACUGUCAUUGUCGUGGUGUGACGUUCUCCCGAGUAGCACGGGGCCCGUGAAAUCUCGUGUGAAUCUGCCAGGACCACCUGGUAAGCCUGAAUACUUCCUGAUGACCGAUAGCGGAUCAGUACCGUGAGGGAAUGGUGAAAAGUACCCCGGGAGGGGAGUGAAAUAGUACCUGAAACCGUGUGCUUACAAGCCGUUGGAGCC
rnacentral:rRNA from 1 species